UACGUAGGGUGCAAGCGUUAAUCGGAAUUACUGGGCGUAAAGCGUGCGCAGGCGGUUUUGUAAGUCUGUCGUGAAAGCCCCCGGGCUCAACCUGGGAAUUGCGAUGGAGACUGCAAGGCUUGAAUCUGGCAGAGGGGGGGUAGAAUUCCACGUGUAGCAGUGAAAUGCGUAGAGAUCCGGAAGAACACCGGUGGCGAAGGCGGCCUGCUGGGGCAGUUGCUGGACACUGAGGCGCGACAGCGUGGGGAGCAAACAGGG
rnacentral:rRNA from 1 species